UUUUUCCAGUGCGCAGUUUCAAAAUGUUCCUUUAGUUCUUGAGAUACAUUCCCCUGGAAGGCUUUUUAUUUACCAGAAAUUUUGACCUUCAAAAAUAAAAAUAUUAGGUUUUUAAAAACAUAGAUAGUAAAAUAGUAGGCUUGAAAAAAUAUAUGUAAGCCAGUUGCAAAAGACCAACAAAUGAGCAGUUUUUUACUUAUUUUUGCAGGGUUGGAAGUAUCAGUAUUUUCCUAUGAACACAAACAGCACCAUUUUUAAUGUGUCUGUACCUUGAAGUACUGAGCUCACCAUUUGUUAGGUCUCUUGGGUGACUUGUGACCAGCUUAGGCAUAAAGAAGAAUUAAUUGGCUCAGGAUGUUGCGAAGUUGGCUGGUAGGACCUGCUUCAGGGGCCUCUGGAAUGAGGGGUUCAGAUCAUAGCGUUAUGUCUUGGUCUCAGUCUGUUGGCUGUGCUGUGUUCUGUGUUACACUCAUUUAUGUAGCCAUUUACCAGUUGUGCUGUGAUAAUCAUUCAUUACUCUGUUUUUGUAGCAAUAGCAGAAAGCUAUGUUUAAGUUCUAGCAGCUCGCAUAGAAUUUGAAUCUUCCUGGUCUGUGAUUGGUCCCUUGUGUAUCAUAUGCCUAUCACUGAAACAGUGUCUGGGGCUGCAGCCGGGCUGGGUAAUGGGAGGUAUGAAGGUGUGCUUAGCCUGGAGUGGGUCACAUGCUCCUCUCAAGAAUGGUAAAUGGUUUUUGACCUGCUCAAGGCAGUGGAAAGUGAGUGAAAGGGGUGCUGGUUUCAGAAGACGCGGACAGCAUUCUAGGAAAGUACUGUGUGCAUAUACAUCCUGUAAGGCACUCUACUUGAUGCACAGCAAAGAUAAAGGAUUACAGGGUUGGAAGGAAUCUUUAAAUAUCAUAUAGCCCAGCUACCCAUGAUUGAGUAUCAUCUGAGAUGUUCCCCAUGAAGGUGUCUGCCAAGUACAUGGGCAUCUCCAGUGACACUGACUAUGAGGAAGUGGGUUGUGCCUCAAAAACACCACCAUGCCUCUGUCCUCAAGGAGCUGAAGUUCAUUCAUGGCUGGGCUCCUUCUGUCUGUCCUUCUGUCCGACCAUCCAUCUAUUGUCUGUCACUAUUGUGGGUCCUAAAACAAGGUCCUAGAUUGCCAUAUACACAUACUAUAAGGUAGACAGGGAGAUUAUAAUGAAGUGGUAGAGAAGCUACAGGAAUACUGGUGGAUGAGGAGGCUGAGGAGGGGAUGCUGGAGGAGGAAGAGGAGAAACCUCACAGAAGCUGUGAGAUCUGGCUGGGACCCAGAGGAUGAAUAGGAGUUCAAAUAGCCAAGGCGAAAGUGAUCCACUUGAUGGAUUUAUUGUCUUUUCUGGAAUCAAACUGUACAUUUGGAGUUUGAUUUGAAUUACUUAGGGAAAAUGGCUUAUAAUGUGUCUUUGCCCAGUUAAAAUACACCUGUCUUUUAGGACAUAUCAGUGAUGUUAGUGAUGGGAACAGUAAGCUGCUCAUGAAAGAUUUUUAGACAGACUGGCCGCAUGGUAUCUUUCAAGUUACCCCAGUUUCCCUUUCCUACCAAGUCCAUAGGAGGUGAAUAUAUGAAGCUCCCAUAGGUGAAAUUUUGGUAAGUUAUAUUAUAGAAUUUUUAAUAACACUUCCCUGAAAAAUUUGGAAGGAUAGGCUAUUGUUUGUUAAUUCAUAUAUUCUUGUGGGCAAAAGUAUUCUGAACUUCACUUUUCAAACCUGAUACCUGAGAAUAGAAACGGGCCUUCCCAAAGGUUAGGGUUCAUGUGGAGAAUAAACAUAUUGAUCCUUAGAUCCAUAUGAAACAUUGAUUAUGAUGCUGGCACCUAGGAAGCACUUAAUAGAUGUUACUUAUUAACAGAGGGUGUUCCAUGCUUUUUACCUCAUAGAUUGUUGAAGGCUUACAAAAGUAAUUGUAUCACUGAUGAAUAACUAAUUGAUUUUAAAAUGUUUUUCCAUAUACUUUGAAUGUAAUAUACUGUUUUAUUUUCACAUGUUACUUCUAUUACAAAAAGGACAUUAAAGAUGGUAGGUUUUAGCAAGGAACUUUAACUCCACAUGCUUUUAAUGCUUCCCUGAAUUAAUAAUUUUCAUGUCCAUCAUAUUUUCUCCUUGGCCCACAAUUCCUCCCAUAUUUGGAUCUUGGCAAAUGAUGACUUGGUUAAUUAGGCAGUCUGUUAACUCUGAUUACUAAGUUAUAACAGAUCAGUGUCGAAGCAUCACUAUGCAAUUUGGAUUAAAAGGCUCUUCAUUUUAUCAAAACACAUUUACAUUUAGUGAUAAGUGUGUUGAAAUGCAUUAGGUUAAAAUGAUGCAUUUCACAAGGAAAAAUUUUAAAAGGAUAAAGAAUUAUUUCCCCCUAAGUUUAUUUUUUUAUUGUGACAUUCAUCACAUUAUCUUUCACUAGGAAUAGACUUAAAAGCUUGGAAUUUUCUUUUAAAGCUUGAAAAUUAUAGCUGAUUCAAUGCCUUUAUUGUACAAAUAUGAUGGAUGCAUUGCAUUUUUAUUUGAGCAUAAUUUAGUGUAGCGACACAUGGUUAUAUUCCAAUUCUGACCACAGUGACCUUUGAUACUGGACUUACUUGUAGAAAUGAGUCUUGACUGUGUUGGGGGCUGGAAUUAGUGGGUUGCAUUAAGGCUCACUCUCUUUUACAGCUGAUGGCACUGACAGUUAUUAAAUAAGAUUGGGCCUUUCUAGUCCUUUCUCUUUCUUGUUUAAUGGUUCAUCAUCACUUAAGGGCAGUUGAAGUAUCACAACCUUGCUUGCUUACUGCAUCUCUGUCUCUGCUUUCCUCCUUUCCUUUCAUAGCACAUAACACUUAGCCUUGUGGAAAAUGAACACACAACUAAACACAAGAAUAAUUUUCCAGAUGCCAUGAACCCUGAAAUUUGUGUUAAUUUCCCCUCAAAAUUCUAUCAGGUGUCAGUAGCAUUUAUACCCACAAGGGCAUACGUGAGUGCUCGAACACACACACAAACACACGCAGUGAACUCAGCAACUGGCAACCAGGAGAUGUUGAACAGGUAUUUGUUGAAGAAUUACCGGUGAAAAAGUUGAAACCCUGACAGCUUUCCACCCCCAGGCUCCCAGACUGGUCCUAGAGAUGAUCCAACAGCGGGAAUCCUAUCUGAUAUUGCAACCGUUAGAGUAAGUGGAACUGAUGGAAUUAAUAUUUCUUUUUUCAAUAAACUUACUGAAGUCUGAUCUUUAUGAAUUUCUGUGUUCUAGUUUCAUGGGAAAUAGAGAAAGCCAAAGUGAGAAACUAUUUCUUAUGUUCACUGAACUUAGUAUCUUGUUGAUGGGUUGCAUUGAGGUGACCACAGGUCAGAAGUGGGAAAUCUUAAUUCUUCAACUUGAUUCAGUGAUAGCAUCUAGUUUGUGUGAAACGACUUUUUAAGAAGCCUCAAAGACCCUUCUGACUUUGUAGAUAGAGCAGAACUUUGCUUAACUCAGAAUGGAAGUUGGAUUUUUAUGAAUUUGAUUAUUUUCUCUUAAUUGGGAACAUUGAGUAGUAAUUAUAGGUGACGCUCAUUUUGGAGGGGCUUGUGGCUGGUUGUUCAAAGGUAAAGUGAUGUUUUGAGCUUGAAUUUGACAGAUUUGAAUGACAGUCAGCCUGAAUAAUUCAGUUUCCCUACCUUCCCAGUCUUCCCAAAAGAACGAACCAAAUAAGGAAUUUUAAAAAACCCAAACCAUUCUGGAUUAUAUGAAUACUUAGCCAUUUUCAAAAGAGGUAGUUUGACAGAGAGACAUUCUCUGGGACUUUUAUGUGUGAGGUAAAUGCAUUAGAACAUUCAUCUCUCUCUCUCUCUUUCUUUCUCUCUCUUUUUAAUGGUGUUCAGUUACCUGAACAACACGUGUAUUAUGAUAAAGAAAUUUCCCAUAGAGUAAGAGAACCCUCUGGAGAAGAGCUGCCUAAGGAAUGAGUUAAAAAGUGAGGUCCAUUGGAUUUUCAAGUGUCCCUUGGGACAGAGCAUUCUUAGUCCCCAUCAGUGGUCCCCAAGAAGUCUUAAUGGCAACGUCAGAAAAUUUUCUCCAUUAAGCGCUGUGGGUAGAAGCAAGCAGCCUUAUUGGAAGGUUGGAUACUAUGACUGUGUGGUUGUAUUAAUUGCAUUUAUUCCUUUAAAAUGACCCUGGAUGAAAACAACCACCCCUUCUGUGGUCAUGGUUAGCAGAUGUUUACCGUAAUUCUUUGCUCAGUUUAAAAAAAAAAAAAAAAAAAAA
rnacentral:lncRNA from 1 species